UACGAGGGGUGCAAGCGUUGCUCGGAAUUAUUGGGCGUAAAGGGUAGGUAGGUGGUCUCAUUUGUCUGGGGUGAAAGCCUUGAGCUUAACUCAAGAAGUGCCCUAGAAACGGUGAGACUGGAGUCUUGGAGAGGGUCGUGGAAUUCCCGGUGUAGCGGUGAAAUGCGUAGAGAUCGGGGAGAACACAGAGGCGAAGGCGGCGACCUGGACAAGCACUGACACUCAACUACGAAAGCGUGGGUAGCAAACAGG
rnacentral:rRNA from 1 species